rnacentral:rRNA from 1 species
CUUGAACGCUGGCGGCAUGCCUAACACAUGCAAGUCGAGCGAGCGGCGGACGGGUGAGUAAUGUCUGGGAAACUGCCCGAUGGAGGGGGAUAACUACUGGAAACGGUAGCUAAUACCGCAUACUAUCAGAUGUGCCCAGAUGGGAUUAGCUAGUAGGUGGGGUAAUGGCUCACCUGGGCGACGAUCCCUAGCUGGUCUGAGAGGAUGACCAGCCACACUGGAACGGAGACACGGUCCAGACUCCUACGGGAGGCAGCAGGGGGGAAUAUUGCACAAUGGGCGCAAGCCUGAUGCAGCCAUGCCGCGUGUGUGAAGAAGGCCUGCGGGUUGUAAAGCACUUUCAGCGGGGAGGCGUUACCCGCAGAAGAAGCACCGGCUAACUCCGUGCCAGCAGCCGCGGUAAUUC